GACGUAGGGGGCCAGCGUUGCUCGGAAUUACUGGGUGUAAAGGGUUCGUAGGCGGUGUGGCAAGUCGGGAGUGAAAUCUCUGGGCUCAACCCAGAGUCUGCUUCCGAAACUGCCGUGCUUGAGUGUGGGAGAGGCGCGUGGAAUUGCAGGUGUAGCGGUGAAAUGCGUAGAUAUCUGCAGGAACACCCGUGGCGAAAGCGGCGCGCUGGACCACUACUGACGCUGAGGAACGAAAGCGAGGGGAGCAAACAGG
rnacentral:rRNA from 1 species